rnacentral:rRNA from 1 species
ACUCGAGUGGCGAACGGGUGAGUAACACGUGGGUGAUCUGCCCUGCACUCUGGGAUAAGCCUGGGAAACUGGGUCUAAUACCGGAUAUGACCUUCCCUCGCAUGGGGGUUGGUGGAAAGCUUUUGCGGUGUGGGAUGGGCCCGCGGCCUAUCAGCUUGUUGGUGGGGUAAUGGCCUACCAAGGCGACGACGGGUAGCCGACCUGAGAGGGUGAUCGGCCACACUGGGACUGAGACACGGCCCAGACUCCUACGGGAGGCAGCAGUGGGGAAUAUUGCACAAUGGGCGCAAGCCUGAUGCAGCGACGCCGCGUGAGGGAUGACGGCCUUCGGGUUGUAAACCUCUUUCACCAGGGACGAAGCGCAAGUGACGGUACCUGGAGAAGAAGCACCGGCCAACUACGUGCCAGCAGCCGCGGUAAUACGUAGGGUGCGAGCGUUGUCCGGAAUUACUGGGCGUAAAGAGCUCGUAGGCGGUUUGUCGCGUCGUCUGUGAAAUUCUGCAACUCAAUUGCAGGCGUGCAGGCGAUACGGGCAGACUUGAGUA